AAUUACAAUUAACAAAAGAAGCCCUAAUCAUCCAUGUCUUCGAUCACCCACAGUCCUACAGGUCACGGUGACGCCGCCGCGCCGUACAGGACCGGACCGCCCUCGCGACCCUCUUCGGCGGGCCGCGGGGGUCUCUUCCGGAUGCUCAUCCAAAAUCCGGCGACCUGCAGUGAUCUACAACAGUACCCAAAAACAUUUUUCCCUGUUCGACAGUGGGAAGGAAAGGAAACAAGAAUGUCCCCCUAAAUUGGUAGAGACACUCGAGGAUGGGAGGAAAAUUGCCUUUUGGAUUCCUUGAUUUUCCAACACAAGGAUCUGGUGCAACAGUCCAGAUUUUUCCAACACAACAUCGGGAGAGGCGAAGGAAAUUGCUGAGGGAGAGCCUCCGCCGGGAAAGGAUACUUGUUAUUUGUCGAGCAGAUGUAUUGCACGGAGGGGAAGCUUUUGCAAACUUCCGGGAACAUGCGUAUCUGCAAGAAAUACAAGAUUGCAGGUAGUUGAGGCCCAUAGGGUAUCUCUAUGCCACUUCAAUGUCACCUCCUGUUGUUCUACAAGCUCUAUCUGCAAGUAAGAUUGUUCUUGUUCUAACAUCCCAACUUGAUCAGGACUCUUUUUAACUGGCCAUAAAAAAGUAGUAUGUACAUACACAAAUAAAAAGAAACAUAUAUAUAUGUGUAUGUUUCUCCAUGUGUAUGUAUACAUAUGUAUAAUAGUACACUGUUCCAAGCUAGGCUGUUACAGUCACACAACUGGAGAAUCGAUUUUAAGGUACUUAUAGAAAACACCUCUGAUUUUUGACUUGUUUCAAAAGCACUUUGGAAGUUCUGCUAUAUCAUCAUGGUAGUAACAUAAGGGGUGAACAUAUAAAGGGAGUUCAAUAGUAGCAUAAGGCAACCAUGAACGAUAAGGCAAUGUCUAAACAGAGGAGAGAACAGGGUGGAUAAUGUCUCCUUGGCAUGAUUCUUGGGAGGUAAAGGGCAAGGGAAUAGUUUUCCUUUUGUGUAUAUAUGGCAGGCUCUUUUGUAACAUUCUCUUAUAAAAGCUGUAGUUUUGCAGUAAGUUUUAUAGUGCCACUGUACAUUUUGAUGGUCAUUAAUCUAUCAAACCGGAGCCGGGAAAUCAUUUAUCCACCAUAGAUGAAGCUCCUCAACAUAUCUUAGAUUUGCGAGGCCCAUCAGCUUAGUUUCAUCGUUAAUGUUAUAAUAAUGCCCGCCGGUGUUUGGCAUGUGACCGUAUUGUUCUUUUUCUCCAAAAUUUUCUGUCCUGAUGACAUUGGAUUUACUUAGGUUGGAGACAUUAUAACAGUGGAGUAAUCCUCUUCAGAUAUUGAAUUAGACAAGGGAGCUACAUUUCUCAAACUGGCAGAUGUAAACCUUAUUCUGGUGAAACAAGAUUGCAAUCUGUAGGAGCUGCAAGUAGAUGCUCUCACUUUUGGCUUGACAGGUGAGGGGGAAUGAAUAGCUUUUCUGUAAUGAAUAGUGUUAGAAUCUCAUAGAUAUGAGUCUUGAAAGCUUCCUAGUCCUCGGUACUAUCAAGUGAUGUAUCACUUUCAUCUCACAACUUGUCCAUCAAACCAGCAUUGAUAAACAAGGACAAUAAUAAUACGUUUUUUUCUUCUUAAAAGGAGAACAAGAAGAGUCAGUAUUAAGUGAAAUCUGGUCUAAUUUGAGAAGGUGGAUUGAUUGUGACCUCUUUUUGAGUCCAAGAACAGUAAUUUUUAAGGUAAAUAAAUUUAAGAUUUUUUUCAGAAAAAAAGUAUAUAAGAUUUCUUAACUUGGAUUUCCUCAAUGGUUUAUCUGUGAUAAGAUAUGAGAAAAGUGACUAGUGACAAGGGUAUCUCUCUGCAAUAAGGCUUUGUUCCUGGAUGACAUUGCCAAGCUAUGAGAGCUUCUGAGGAUGGGUCAGAUGCACAAGCCUGCUUGCCCAAAAACACUUGCAUAUAACAUGAGACUGCAACAGAGAGAAAAAAAAUAGAGAAGGAAAGAAGAAUAAAAACAAUAAGAGAGAGAGAGAGAGAGAGAGAGAGAGAGAGAGAGCACUCAGAAGAGGCAUGCAUGUACUCUUUUGCUGGUUUGGCAUCUCCAACUUAUCACCAACUUGUCAGAAUGCCAGGUGGACAGGGUGGUCAGGCAGAAACAACAAGGGAGGGGGGGGGGGGGGGGGGAGGGGAAGGAAGAAAACAACAAGCACUUCAGAGAAUAUAUGGAGAAGCAGAGGAAGGCCACUAAAAUAGUCAGUGGUUGGAGGUGCGUGAGAUGCAUCAUCAGGAGGAAGAUGGCAUGGCUGUUGCCUGUGGCCCACAGUAUCAGCUCUGUGACCUCAAACAUCUUAUCAUGUCAUUCUUUUUUGUUCCUUCUUGAUAGGAUGGAUCAGUGUGGGCUAUCAUGUGGGAUGCCACAUGCAAACUGCUGACACCCAAAAGCAUCGAGAGGGGGGAAAAGAGGACGUGAAUCUUUUCUUCUUGUUGGCAUGCACUGCAUGUGUACAUUCCAACGUUGUUAUAAAUAAUGUUAAAGAAUAUGCAUGAUCA